rnacentral:lncRNA from 1 species
GAAAAAGGUACAUAGUUGGCUUACAAUCGCCACUUCACACAAUUACAUGAAUAAACAUUACAUCAUACAAUUACACUCAAGGUCCAACUACGGAACCAAAAUAAAAGAAUAACCCCAAAUGCGACAAAGGUCCCCGAUCGGCCCCAACUGGGCUCCACUACUGAUCAACUAGAACGAAACAACACAAAUGAACAAGGUCUUCAACGAGCUCCUCUGGGUUGCGUCAUCUGCACGGUCUCAUCGGCACCUGCAAGCUGGUUUUGGAAGUAUCUGUGAGCCACAGGGACUCAGCAAUCUCGCACCCUCGCGAUCAAGACUAUUUAAGCUUAUGGGUAAGGUAAAGGUAUGAGGUGGAGCUGCAGCAAGCGACUAGCAUAUAUGGUGGCUAACAUACGCAAAUGAGAGCGAGAAGAGAAGGCAAAGCACGGUUGAUAAAAGUAUGAUCAAGAAGUGAUCCUAGACUACCUACGUCAAGCAUAACUCCAACAACCAUGUUCACUUCCCGGACUCCGCCGGAAAGAGACCAUCACGGUUACACACGCUGUUGAUUCAUUUUAAUUAAGGUCAAGUUCAGGUUUUCUACAACCGGACGUUAACAAAUUCCCAUCUGCCCAUAACCGCGGGCACGGCUUUCGAAAGUUCAAAUCCCUGCAGGGGUGUCCCAACUUAGCCCAUGACAAGCUCUCACGGUCAACGAAGGAAUAGACCUCCACCCGAGACAUUCCGAUCAGACUCGGUAUCCCAGUACAACAAGACAUUUCGAUAGGGUAAAACUAAACCAGCAACACCGCCCAAUGCGCCGACAUCCUGAUAGGAGCUGCACAUAUCUCGUUCUCAGGGCAACACCGGAUAAGCAAUCCGUACAACUAAAACCAGCCCUCAAGUUUCCCCGAGGUGGCGCUGCAAGGGGCUCUAGUUUGGACCAACGCUUAGACAAGCACUGGCCCGGGGGGGUUAAAAUAAAGAUGACCCUCGGGAUGCGCGACUCCCAAGGGAAAAAGGCUAGGUGGCAAAUGGUAAAACCAAUGUUGGGCAUUGCUGGCAAAGCUUUACUUAAGGCGAACUGUCAAGGGGUUCCCAUUAUAGCCCAACCGCGUAAGGGACGCAAAAUCCGGGAACAUAACACCGAUAUGACGGAAACUAGGGCGGCAAGAGUGGAACAAAACACCAGGCAUAAGGCCGAGCCUUCCACCCUUUACCAAGUAUAUAGAUGCAUUAAUUAAAUAAGAUAUAUCAUGAUAUCCCAACAAGUAAAAUAAAUGUUCCAACAAGGAACGGCCUCCAUGUUCCAACAAGGAACAAACUUCAAUCUUCACCUGCAACUAACAACGCUAUAAGAGGGGCUGAGCAAAGCGGUAACAUAGCCAAUCAACGGUUUGCUAGGACAAUGGUGGGUUAGGGGCUCAACAUGGCAAUUUGGGAGGCUGACAAGCAAGUGGUAGGCAUCGUAGCCAUGGCAUAGCAAAAGAGCGAGCAAACUAGCAUAGCAAAGAUAGUAGUGAUUUCGAGGGUAUGAUCAUCUUGCCUGAAAUCCCGCAAGGAAGAAGAACGAGUCCAUGAAGAAGACAAACAGACGUAGACGAACGGUUCCUCACAAACACGACGUUAUCGGAACCAACCCGAGGAAGCAAUCACCGGAAAAUAAG